rnacentral:rRNA from 1 species
UACGUAGGGGGCAAGCGUUAUCCGGAUUUACUGGGUGUAAAGGGAGCGUAGACGGCAAGGCAAGUCUGGAGUGAAAGCCCGUGGCCCAACCACGGGACUGCUCUGGAAACUGUGUUGCUGGAGUGCCGGAGAGGCAGGCGGAAUUCCUAGUGUAGCGGUGAAAUGCGUAGAUAUUAGGAGGAACACCAGUGGCGAAGGCGGCCUGCUGGGCUUUUACUGACGCUGAGGCUCGAAAGUGUGGGGAGCAAACAGG